UGGGGAAUUUUGGACAAUGGGCGAAAGCCUGAUCCAGCCAUGCCGCGUGAGUGAAGAAGGCCUUCGGGUUGUAAAGCUCUUUUAGUCGGAAAGAAAGAGUUGCAAUGAAUAAUUGUGAUUUAUGACGGUACCGACAGAAAAAGCACCGGCUAACUACGUGCCAGCAGCCGCGGUAAUACGUAGGGUGCGAGCGUUAAUCGGAAUUACUGGGCGUAAAGGGUGCGCAGGCGGUCUUGCAAGUCAGAUGUGAAAGCCCCGGGCUUAACCUGGGAAUUGCGUUUGAAACUACAAGGCUAGAGUGCAGCAGAGGGGAGUGGAAUUCCAUGUGUAGCAGUGAAAUGCGUAGAGAUGUGGAAGAACACCGAUGGCGAAGGCAGCUCCCUGGGUUGACACUGACGCUCAUGCACGAAAGCGUGGGAAGCAAACA
rnacentral:rRNA from 1 species